UAGAAAAAAAAAAUUGUAAUUAAUUAUAUUAUUAAUAAGUUCAAAUAUUAUUUCUAAAAACUUCUAGAAAGCAGGCUUUGAUAGUAAAAAUUUGAAGAACUGCCAAAAACUUUUCAAAUUUUCUACAUACACUUUUGGCAUUUUCUACAAAAAAGAGCUCUUUAAGCAAUAUCAAUUUCUGUGACUAUUUUUAGGCAUUUUCCAGUAUUUACUGUGAGAGGCCUGUUUGAAGUAACU